rnacentral:other from 1 species
GACUCUCUGCCCUGCAGGUGAGGUCAGAACGUCCACUCGGAAUACUUUAUUUUCGGGAUCAUUUUAAGAAGCCCGGUGUGCCUGCCCGCCUCGUAGCGGGACGCCUAAUGGGUUUACAAAUGGUCCCACCUCAUUGGAACUCGAUGUGAGUCCAAUGACCCACGGCAGAGUGGAGAGUCG